rnacentral:piRNA from 1 species
CUAAGUCAUAUGACUUGCACCUGACU